CACGUAGGGUGCGAGCGUUGUCCGGAAUUAUUGGGCGUAAAGAGCUCGUAGGCGGCUUGUUGCGUCGACUGUGAAAACCCGUGGCUCAACCAUGUGGUCUGCAGUCGAUACGGGCAGGCUAGAAUUCGGUAGGGGAGACUGGAAUUCCUGGUGUAGCGGUGAAAUGCGCAGAUAUCAGGAGGAACACCGGUGGCGAAGGCGGGUCUCUGGGCCGAUAUUGACGCUGAGGAGCGAAAGCGUGGGGAGCGAACAGG
rnacentral:rRNA from 1 species